rnacentral:tRNA from 1 species
GCGCCAGUAGCUCAACUGGAUAGAGCACCGGCCUUCUAAGCCGGCGGUUCGGGGUUCAAGUCCCUGCUGGCGUAC